AUGCUCUAUCCUGAUAAGGUUGAAAUGGAAGUUGUUGGCCUUUUAAAUUUUUUUUUCAAAAUGACAUUACACCAAAGUUGUCGUAUUCUUGGGGAAAGUUUUGAUUUUGAUGACUUGGCAUUUCCAACAGAAAAACAUUCUGUUGGCAAAUUUUUAUAUUUCUACUGAAGACCUAAAAAAGAAAAUAUGUUGAGUUUUUAUAUACUGAACACUCCCAUUAUCCAGGCCAUGGGGAAUAUUUGGCACAGAAAUAACCUCUGACAUUUUUUUCUCCCUCUGUUAAAUCCAUUGACACUUCAUUUCCUGAGCAUCUCAGAGAAUGCAUCACUCACUGACAUCAAAGAUACCAGAAACCUCAUUGCAACUGAUGAGAAAUGACCUGGAAAAGCCCUCCAUUUCAUUCUUCAUGAAUUCUGUGCCCAUGCUCAUUUGUCAGUGGAAACCAUCCUGAUGGGAUCUCUGCCAUCCACUCUGCAUCACCUGAAGCAAUCCAUUGGAUCACCAGCCAGGACUUGGACAUCUAACACUGCUGUUUUUAAGCCAUAAGAAAGAAAGAAAGAAAGAAAGAAAGAAAGAAAGAAAGAAAGAAAGAAAGAGAAGAGAAGAGCUAGUGAAUCUGCUGGUUCUAAAGGGCUGUAUUGUGCAUAACAUCUUCUCAAGAGGGACCAAGAAAUUCAGUAAAUUUCAGUUCAUGGAGUUUCUUGCAAAGUAAUCUGUUGGGAGGCAAGGAUUCUCCCCUACUGGCCUGCAGGAAGGUGUGCUGAGAUCACUCAGACCUGCUGAUGUCCUGAGAAUGGCACAGAAAUCCCAUGGAUCCAUGGCAUUCAAAGAACAGGAGGAAUGAAUUUUAUGGACCCAAGAUUGGUCAGAUGGGCCCUAAUGAUACAGGUGAAAGUUGGGUCAUUCCAAUAUAUAUAUGAAUGAAGCUAUUCUGGUUCAAAUGCAUUUUACAGCAUGAUGCUUUUGAUAAUAUUGUCUUCCUGCUGAAGAACGGGAUGUGCUUUUCUUUCUUAAAUGUCUAA